AUUGAACGCUGGCGGCAGGCCUAACACAUGCAAGUCGAGCGGAGCGGCGGACGGGUGAGUAAUGCCUAGGAAUCUGCCUGGUAGUGGGGGAUAACGUCCGGAAACGGGCGCUAAUACCGCAUUCUAUCAGAUGAGCCUAUGUCGGAUUAGCUAGUUGGUGGGGGAACGGCCUACCAAGGCGACGAUCCGUAACUGGUCUGAGAGUAUGAUGAGUCACACUGGAGCUGAGACACGGUCCAGACUCCUACGUGAGGGAGCAGGGGGAAAUAUUGGACGAUGGGCGAAAGCCUGAUCCAGCCAUACCGCGUGUGUGAAGAAGGUCGUCGGAUUGUAAAGCUCUGUAAGUUGGGGGGCGUUACCAACAGAAUAAGCACCGGCUAACUUCGUGCCAGUAGCCGCGGUAAUAC
rnacentral:rRNA from 1 species